rnacentral:misc_RNA from 1 species
UUGAUUGUAAUGUUUUCAUUCAGACGACAUGCGAGUUUCUGCAUAAAAGCGGCCACCCCAAAGGGAGGCUGAAGCACGAUAUUGUCUUCCACAUGUUUUAAGGGUAGAAGGUCAAAGACCAUUCAAUAAUGAUCCCUCCGCAGGUUCACCCACGGAGA